AUACGUAGGGGGCGAGCGUUGUCCGGAAUGAUUGGGCGUAAAGGGCGCGUAGGCGGCCCGGUAAGUCUGGAGUGAAAGUCCUGCUUUUAAGGUGGGAAUUGCUUUGGAUACUGUCGGGCUUGAGUGCAGGAGAGGUAAGUGGAAUUCCCAGUGUAGCGGUGAAAUGCGUAGAGAUUGGGAGGAACACCAGUGGCGAAGGCGACUUCCUGGACUGUAGAUGACGCUGAGGCGCGAAAGUGUGGGGAGCAAACAGGAUUAGAUACCCUGGUAGUCCACACUGUAAACGAUGAAUGCUAGGUGUAGGGGGUAUCGACCCCUUCUGUGCCGCAGUUAACACAAUAAGCAUUCCGCCUGGGGAGUACGGCCGCAAGGUUGAAACUCAAAUGAAUUGACGGGG
rnacentral:rRNA from 1 species